rnacentral:rRNA from 1 species
AUUGAACGCUGGCGGCAGGCCUAACACAUGCAAGUCGAGCGGAUGAGAAGAGCUUGCUCUUCGAUUCAGCGGCGGACGGGUGAGUAAUGCCUAGGAAUCUGCCUAUUAGUGGGGGACAACGUUUCGAAAGGAACGCUAAUACCGCAUACGUCCUACGGGAGAAAGCAGGGGACCUUCGGGCCUUGCGCUAAUAGAUGAGCCUAGGUCGGAUUAGCUAGUAGGUGAGGUAAUGGCUCACCAAGGCGACGAUCCGUAACUGGUCUGAGAGGAUGAUCAGUCACACUGGAACUGAGACACGGUCCAGACUCCUACGGGAGGCAGCAGUGGGGAAUAUUGGACAAUGGGCGAAAGCCUGAUCCAGCCAUGCCACGUGUGUGAAGAAGGUCUUCGGAUUGUAAAGCACUUUAAGUUGGGAGGAAGGGUACUUACCUAAUACGUGAGUAUUUUGACGUUACCGACAGAAUAAGCACCGGCUAACUCUGUGCCAGCCGCCGCAGUAAGAC